UUACGGCCACAUUAGGUUGAAACACCGAUUCCAGUACGAUCACCGAAGUUAAGCAACGUUGACUCUGGUCACUACCUUGGUAGAUGAUUGCUUGGGAAUACCAAGUGCUGUAA